rnacentral:pre_miRNA from 1 species
AAUAAGUGCAGUCAUGGUUUUCCGCGCCCAACUUUAAUCAUUCGUCUUAUUUAAAAAAGUUGAAAAAAAAAUAAAAACAUAAGUCACGAGUAAAGUAUUAUUUAUGUUUUAUCAUCUUAUAACAAUAAAAAUAUUAAUUAUAAAAAAAUUUCAAAUAAGACGGAUGAUUAAAAUUGGACGCGAAAACUCAUGGUUGCACUUAUU